AACCCCUGGCGAUGGGCAAAGAGACACCUGAUUGGUGGUGUUAUUCUUCUAUCACUCAGGGGCAAAGAAGACGCACAGUCCUUUGUUCAUGCUAGCUGGAUGCCUGCAUUGGUGGCCGGAGCUGUUUUAUGCCUAGGGCACAUGG